rnacentral:rRNA from 1 species
AUGGAGAAGGCAAGAAAGCACAUGCCUUCAUCGUCUUCCUUCAUAGGAAUACUUCUCUUGAUCAAGGUCUUGCCUUCAGGGCCUGGUUUCACACGUGCAACAGAUACUCUUCUUCCAGGCCAAUCUCUGAGUGGUAACCGGACCUUGCUUUCAAAGAAUGGUACAUUCAAGUUGGGUUUCAACUGCCUAUCUCCCCCAUGUUAUUCAGAUUCUACCUUUGGCAUAUGGUACGUUAACUCAUCAACUUGUAGCCCUCUUCUAGUUUGGGCGCCCGACACGGUUUUGCCCAUCUUUAGAACUUGGUCCUCAUCAUUUGGACUCUUAGAAGAUGGCAACCUAUAUCUUAAAAGUGAUGAAGGCUCACUUGUUUGGUCAGCAUUUAGAACCGGCGGAUAUAUUUCUGUACUUGCAAUACUUCUUGACAACGGAAAUCUCGUUAUAAGGGACCAAGUGGAUAUUUCUGCUGUGUUGUGGCAAAGCUUCGACAACCCACUUGGUACAAUACUACCUGGGGGCUGGAUGGGAUCUAAUAGGAUCACUAACAAAGAAGCCUUCCUUAUUUCCAGGGCUUCCUGUUCUGGGAUUGAUCGUUCUACUUUGACAAUAUAUCCAGAGCAAAGUAGAGAAAUUUUGGUUCGGCUUAUUCCUGACAUACUCCCUCCGUUCCUAAAUGUUUGUCUUUCUAGAGAUUUCAACAAGUGA